AUUGAACGCUGGCGGCGGGCCUAACACAUGCAAGUCGAACGAGUGGCGGACGGGUGAGUAAUGUCUGGGAACCUGCCUGAUGGAGGGGGAUAACUACUGGAAACGGUAGCUAAUACCGCAUACCAUCGGAUGUGCCCAGAUGGGAUUAGCUAGUCGGUGGGGUAAAGGCUCACCUAGGAGACGAUCCCUAGCUGGUCGGAGAGGAUGACCAGCCACACUGGAACUGAGACACGGUCCAGACUCCUACGGGAGGCAGCAGUAGGGAAUAUUGGACAAUGGGCGCAAGCCUGAUGGAGCCAUGCCGCGUGUAUGAAGAAGGUCUUCGGGUUGUAAAGUACUUUCAGCGGGGAGGCGUUACCCGCAGAAGAAGCACCGGCUAACUCCGUGCCAGCAGCCGCGGUAAUUC
rnacentral:rRNA from 1 species